GAGCUAUGAUGAACCUUGCAAUCCUGUGGUUGAAGUUCAAUCAUACUUAUCUGAUCUAACGGAUGAUAUAUGUGCCCCUGAGCUC